rnacentral:rRNA from 1 species
UACGAAGGGUGCAAGCGUUAUUCGGAAUUACUGGGCGUAAAGCGUGCGUAGGUGGUUUGUUAAGUCUGAUGUGAAAGCCCUGGGCUCAACCUGGGAAUGGCAUUGGAAACUGGCUUACUAGAGUGCGGUAGAGGGUAGCGGAAUUCCCGGUGUAGCAGUGAAAUGCGUAGAUAUCGGGAGGAACAUCUGUGGCGAAGGCGGCUACCUGGACCAGCACUGACACUGAGGCACGAAAGCGUGGGGAGCAAACAGG